GAAAACUUCAUAGUCCAAGGCAACUUUGUGGAUCAGAUGCUGUGGGUUGAAUCCUGGAGGAGGACAAAUCCAAGAAUUAUCUUCUGGUUCGGAGAGUCUACCCUGGGUGCUGGAGAUCCACAGCUCAUCUGGACUGGCCGGCAAUUUGUGAGCAGCCCCUCUUCGCCCACAGCCAGCAAGUAACCGAAGCCUGCAUUCCAACAGCUCCAAGGAACUGAAUCCUGCCAGCAACCAGGUCACCUUGUUCUUGAGAGAUGGCUGCUGGAGCUCCAGUCAUCACUUCUGCCUUGUGAACAUUAGGAAGAAGGAAAGGAGGUGAGUUAAGGCAUUUGCAUUCCAAUUGAAUCAACUUCUUUUGAAGACCUUUUCCUGCAACUUUCCCCAGUAAUUUCUGCUUAAAUUUC